rnacentral:sRNA from 1 species
UGUAUCUGAAGUCUGACGAGGAUGAGAACCUCCGGGGGCAAGAGGUUCGACUCGAGCGAAGCGAGAGAACGUUGCGUCAGCAACGGCCCGCAGGGCGAGCCACGCAGUGGCGAGUCAUCC